AUGCAAGUCGAACGAGUUCUCGUUGAUGAUCGGUGCUUGCACCGAGAUUCAACAUGGAACGAGUGGCGGACGGGUGAGUAACACGUGGGUAACCUGCCCUUAAGUGGGGGAUAACAUUUGGAAACAGAUGCUAAUACCGCAUAGAUCCAAGAACCGCAUGGUUCUUGGCUGAAAGAUGGCGUAAGCUAUCGCUUUUGGAUGGACCCGCGGCGUAUUAGCUAGUUGGUGAGGUAAUGGCUCACCAAGGCGAUGAUACGUAGCCGAACUGAGAGGUUGAUCGGCCACAUUGGGACUGAGACACGGCCCAAACUCCUACGGGAGGCAGCAGUAGGGAAUCUUCCACAAUGGACGCAAGUCUGAUGGAGCAACGCCGCGUGAGUGAAGAAGGCUUUCGGGUCGUAAAACUCUGUUGUUGGAGAAGAAUGGUCGGCAGAGUAACUGUUGUCGGCGUGACGGUAUCCAACCAGAAAGCCACGGCUAACUACGUGCCAGCAGCCGCGGUAAUACGUAGGUGGCAAGCGUUAUCCGGAUUUAUUGGGCGUAAAGCGAGCGCAGGCGGUUUUUUAAGUCUGAUGUGAAAGCCCUCGGCUUAACCGAGGAAGCGCAUCGGAAACUGGGAAACUUGAGUGCAGAAGAGGACAGUGGAACUCCAUGUGUAGCGGUGAAAUGCGUAGAUAUAUGGAAGAACACCAGUGGCGAAGGCGGCUGUCUGGUCUGUAACUGACGCUGAGGCUCGAAAGCAUGGGUAGCGAACAGGAUUAGAUACCCUGGUAGUCCAUGCCGUAAACGAUGAAUGCUAGGUGUUGGGAGGGUUUCCGCCCUUCAGUGCCGCAGCUAACGCAUUAAGCAUUCCGCCUGGGGAGUACGACCGCAAGG
rnacentral:rRNA from 1 species